GCCCCCGUAGCUCAGUCGGUAGAGCAGCCGCCUUGUAAGCGGCAGGUCGAGCGUUCUGAUACGUCUCCUGGGGCACCA
rnacentral:tRNA from 1 species